CGCGUGUGUGAAGAAGGCCUUCGGGUUGUAAAGCACUUUCAGCUGUGAGGAAAGGCGAGUGGUUAAUACCCGCUUGCUGUGACGUUAACAGCAGAAGAAGGACCGGCUAACUCCGUGCCAGCAGCCGCGGUAAUACGGAGGGUCCGAGCGUUAAUCGGAAUUACUGGGCGUAAAGCGCGCGUAGGUGGUUCAGUCAGUCAGAUGUGAAAGCCCCGGGCUCAACCUGGGAACUGCACCUGAUACUGCUGAGCUAGAGUACGGUAGAGGGCAGUGGAAUUUCCGGUGUAGCGGUGAAAUGCGUAGAGAUCGGAAGGAACACCAGUGGCGAAGGCGACUGCCUGGACCGAUACUGACACUGAGGUGCGAAAGCGUGGGUAGCAAACAGGAUUAGAUACCCUGGUAGUCCACGCCGUAAACGAUGUCAACUAGCCGUUGGGGGACUUGAUCCUUUAGUGGCGAAGCUAA
rnacentral:rRNA from 1 species